AGCGAACGCUGGCGGCAGGCCUAACACAUGCAAGUCGAACGAACUCUUCGGAGUUAGUGGCGGACGGGUGAGUAACACGUGGGAACGUGCCUUUUGGUUCGGAAUAACUCAGGGAAACUUGUGCUAAUACCGAAUGUGCCCUUCGGGGGAAAGAUUUAUCGCCAUUAGAGCGGCCCGCGUCUGAUUAGCUAGUUGGUGAGGUAACGGCUCACCAAGGCGACGAUCAGUAGCUGGCCUGAGAGGAUGACCAGCCACACUGGGACUGAGACACGGCCCAGACUCCUACGGGAGGCAGCAGUGGGGAAUCUUGCGCAAUGGGCGAAAGGCUGACGCAGCCAUGCCGCGUGAAUGAUGAAGGUCUUAGGAUUGUAAAAUUCUUUCAACGGGGACGAUAAUGACGGUACCCGGAGAAGAAGCCCCGGCUAACUUCGUG
rnacentral:rRNA from 1 species